rnacentral:tRNA from 1 species
AGCCCCGAGGUGAAUCACACCGGAAUGCAAGUCCGGAGAAGCACCCUAAAGGUGCCGGGGCUU